GGUCGGGUGGCAGAGUGGUCGAAUGCACCGGUCUUGAAAACCGGCGUGUCGCAAGGCACCGUGGGUUCGAAUCCCACCCCGACCGC
rnacentral:tRNA from 1 species